AAAGGGAGACCUACUCACAGAACGAAAGCAAAAAGCGAAUAGUUUUGAAUGAGACAUCCCAGAAAGGUCGUACAGGAAAAGUUGAAAGUCAACUCGCGCGUUCAUUAGCAGAUUGAAAAUCUGCAGGGUCACUCGAAAAAAAUUCUUCAAACUAGAGACUGGGUUCGUAAAAGAUAGCGAACCAAAAGGGCUAUUAGCUCAGGUGGUUAGAGCGCACCCCUGAUAAGGGUGAGGUCCCUGGUUCAAGUCCAGGAUGGCCCACUGAUCAGUUAGAUAAUAACUGAUAACUGAAGAGGGGGUAUAGCUCAGCUGGUAGAGCGCCUGCUUUGCAAGCAGGAUGUCAGCGGUUCAAAUCCGCUUACCUCCACCACAAAGAAGGAAAAGAGAGAAUCAUCAGCAUCGGCACUAAUUAGAAGUGAGAAUGCUGGGGAUUAAACUCCAGUAAGAACCUUGAAAACUGCAUAAAGAAAGAGAAAAGUCAAAAAGAUUAACUAAAACCAGAACCAGGUUAAGGUAUGUUUUUGGGAAUAGGCUGAACUUAUAGUUCAAGUUUGUGAACAAGAGCAUAUCGAAAAAGUAGUCCGAAAAUAGCAGGUCAAGCUAGAAAGGGCUAACGGUGGAUACUA
rnacentral:tRNA from 1 species